rnacentral:rRNA from 1 species
UACAGAGGGGGCAAGCGUUGUUCGGAAUUACUGGGCGUAAAGGGCGCGUAGGCGGCCUGCUAAGUCGAACGUGAAAUCCCUGGGCUCAACCCAGGAACUGCGUCCGAUACUGGUUGGCUUGAAUCCGGGAGAGGGACGUGGAAUUCCAGGUGUAGCGGUGAAAUGCGUAGAUAUCUGGAGGAACACCGGUGGCGAAGGCGGGUUGCUGGGCCGACACUGACGCUGAGGCGCGAAAGCCAGGGGAGCGAACGGG